GACGAACGCUGGCGGCGUGCUUAACACAUGCAAGUCGAACGGAAAGGCCCUGCUUUUGUGGGGUGCUCGAGUGGCGAAUGGGUGAGUAACACGUGAGUAACCUGCCCUUGACUUUGGGAUAACUUCAGGAAACUGGGGCUAAUACCGGAUAGGAGCUCCUGCUGCAUGGUGGGGGUUGGAAAGUUUCGGCGGUUGGGGAUGGACUCGCGGCUUAUCAGCUUGUUGGUGGGGUAGUGGCUUACCAAGGCUUUGACGGGUAGCCGGCCUGAGAGGGUGACCGGCCACAUUGGGACUGAGAUACGGCCCAGACUCCUACGGGAGGCAGCAGUGGGGAAUAUUGCACAAUGGGCGGAAGCCUGAUGCAGCAACGCCGCGUGCGGGAUGACGGCCUUCGGGUUGUAAACCGCUUUCGCCUGUGACGAAGCGUGAGUGACGGUAAUGGGUAAAGAAGCACCGGCUAACUACGU
rnacentral:rRNA from 1 species